UACAGGGGGUGCAAACGUUGCUCGGAAUCAUUGGGCGUAAAGCGCACGUAGGCGGUCUGUUAUGUCGGAUGUGAAAGCCCUUGGACUCAACUGAGGAAGUGCAUCCGAAACUGGCAGGCUAGAGUACUAAAGAGGAUCGCGGAAUUCCCGGUGUAGAGGUGAAAUUCGUAGAUAUCGGGAGGAACACCGGUGGCGAAGGCGGCGAUCUGGGUAGAUACUGACGCUGAGGUGCGAAAGCGUGGGGAGCGAACAGG
rnacentral:rRNA from 1 species